rnacentral:rRNA from 1 species
GCGGUGAAUGCCUUGGCACUUAAAGGCGAUGAAGGACGUGAAAAGCUGCGAUAAGCAACGGUGAGGAGCACAUAUCCAUUGACCCGUUGAUUUCCGAAUGGGGGAACCCUAUAUACGACUGCUUGAAUACAUAGAGCAGAACGAGCUAACUCAGGGAAGUGAACCAUCUCAGUACCUGAAGGAAGAGAAAACAACUAGUGAUUCCGUGAGUAGCGGCGAGCGAAAACGGACCAGCCUAAACCGAUUGGGCUUGCUCAAUCGGGGUCUGGGACCAGACAUUAAUGGGACGAGAAGGAUUAGAGGAAUUGUGUGGAAAAGCACACCAUAGAGCGUGAUAGUCGCGUAACUCGAAAAUUUUCGGAAUCUUAGUUGCACCGAGUAAUGCGGGACACGAGGAAUCUUG